rnacentral:tRNA from 1 species
GGGAGUAGCUCAGUUGGAUAGAGCAACGGUUUUCUAAACCGUAGGUCCCGGGUUCGAGUCCCGGCUC